AUUGAACGCUGGCGGCAGGCUUAACACAUGCAAGUCGAACGAGUGGCGGACGGGUGAGUAAUGUCUGGGAAACUGCCUGGUGGAGGGGGAUAACUACUGGAAACGGUAGCUAAUACCGCAUACCAUCAGAUGUGCCCAGAUGGGAUUAGCUAGUUGGUGGGGUAACGGCUCACCAAGGCGACGAUCCCUAGCUGGUUUGAGAGGAUGACCAGCCACACUGGGACUGGACCACGGUCCCGACUCCUACGGGAGGCAGCAGUGGGGAAUUUUGCACAAUGGGGGAAAGCCUGAUGCAGCCAUUCCGCGUGUAUGAAGAAGGCCUUCGGGUUGUAAAGUACUUUUAGCGGAGAGGCGUUACCCGCAGAAGAAGCACCGGCUAACUCCGUGCCAGCGGCCGCGGUAAUUC
rnacentral:rRNA from 1 species